rnacentral:lncRNA from 10 species
UUCCAGCUGGCCUGGGGAUUUCUGGGAGGAUCCGAAGAACAAGGCCAUCUGCAGUAGGAGCCUCCUGUUCCUCGCCACCUACGCUUCAGCCCUGCCCAACUAACAGCUCUCCAUGUUCUAAAGAAGGCAGGAGUGCUGGACCACCCCAGCCUUCUGGAACCCCAGUUCUGUGACAUUAUCCAUCUCCUGGAAAUAUGCUGGUUUUAACCAUGCAAAUUAGUUAAGCAUCAGGCAGAAAUAGCAGCUGGGCCUGGAAGCACAGGUGACGUCUGUGAGGAAAAUGGCUGGGUGGGACAGGGUGGAGAGCACGGGCUGUUCCCUUCCUUUCUGGGAACAGCACCACCUUUGGGGUAACUCCUUCUCUCAUGGGGUUUUAGGCGGGGGCUGCCAGUGCCAGUGCCCGGUCCCCUGUCACCCCCCAUAGUCAUAGGAACGCUUCUGCGCCAGUCACUACAUUUAUAAGGGGAAGCUGGUGGAGCUGCUCAGCUUCCAACAGGAAGCCCAUGUGUGCAGGGCCAGAGGACACAGCCCAUCUGAGGUGCUAAGCUUCUGUGAAGAGGGAGUGGAGUCUGGACCGGAUUCCAGUCCCACGGUCCACCCUUUCUGGGACCCAAACACACCCUUCCCCUUCCUUCAAUUCUGAGAAGCAGUAAAUGUCCCUACUUGCGAACAAGUUUGAGUUGGGUUUCUGUCACUUGCAGCCAAAAGAAACCUGCCAGCUACUGUCAGCAUCGGUCAACCAUCUGUGAAACUGUGAGCUGACAACCUGUCCCCUCCCUGUGAAGGCCACAACAUCCCAACACCAUUAGUCACCAAGGAAGUCUGGGAGAAAUUUCUACCAGAAAGGGGCAAGGGAGGAAACAUUUUGUUACUGCUGGCCCACUCUACCCUCUGAAACAGGGCGGCAGGAUCUGGCAGAAAGAAAGUUUACAAGGGGCUUCUAAGCAGGCAGUGCUGCCCCAUGCCCCCCGGGCUUCUCCUCCCAGCAGGGCAGCAGCAUAUGGCACCCUGGGAUAGGAGGUCUGCAGGGGCGGGGGCGGGGAGGCUGAACAUCCUGGGGGCACCACUUUAUGAGGAACCAUUUAUGGCCAGAACUCUACAGGGGCUUCAGGGACCUGAAUGAACUCAUCUCUGUAGAGUGAGAGUCCUGGGCAGGAGGAGAGGUUUCCAUAGCCCAGGACCACAUGCUGGAAAUUUGGUCUCUGCAGCUUAAAAUCUGAGAGAAGAUGGUGUCUGCAGCAUUCAAAGGGGGACCAGAGGGACCCUCCACCCCUGGCCCCCCCAGCUAUUACAAACAUGAGCCCUGGGAAGAUUCCUAUCAAAAACCCAAGCUGGGGCCCAUGAGUCAAGUCUGGACGUGCAGUUUGGGGCAAGAGGACAGAUGGACGCCACAGGCCAUCUGUCUAAAUAUUUCCAAAUUAUAAAUUAAACUAACAGGGUGUUAAAUAAAGUAUGUUCUAACCUCAUCCCCUGACAAAUAUUCCUUUAAAAUGAUAAAAUUUAAAAAUGUGU